rnacentral:lncRNA from 1 species
UUAUAUUUAUAUAACUUCAGUGAAAAUUGAAAAACAGUUAGUGAAAUAUGAAUUGUACAACUCAACAAGUAUUGAUUAGUAAAUGCAAAAUUAUGUCCGUAACGCGUUCAUCUCUAUGUAUACAACUAAACUGACAUUUUCAGUUGGAAUGAUUUCGGAGAAGUAAAGGGUUUUUGUUUCUUUGAUUAAUAACUAUCUAGGUUUUACAAAGUAUUCAAAAAGUCUUGUUUUGGCCUCUAUUAUUAUAACAAUUUUAAGCAAUAUAUCCUUAACCCCUAAAUCGACCCAACCUUUCUUUUGUGGAAUGAAACCUCAGUGGCGGAUCCAUGCAUAAUUUUUCAUAAGGAGGGGCCCGUCGACUGACCUAAAAGGGGGCGCUCCAUUCAUGAUUCAGUGAUUCCCUAUACAAUCAACCAUUUUGUUCCCACAAAAAUGGGGAGGGGGCCUCUGGGUCUUAUGAAUCUUGUGCUUUAAAUUAUAGAUAUUAUUACUAGUAUACUGAUAUUCCGAAAAUCAUUAAAAAUACCCAUUUGUAUUCUUCACCAACGCUAGCAGAGGGGCAUUAUGUUUUCUGCUUUGUGCGUCCAUUCGUCUGUUCGUCGUCCGUCUGUCCCGCUUUAGGUUAAAGUUUUUGGUCAAGGUAGUUUUUAUAAAGUUGAAGUCCAAUCAACUCGAAACUAAGUACACAUUUUCCCUAUACUAUGAUAUUUCUAAUUUUAAUGCCAAAUUAGAGUUUUGGCCCCAAUUUCACUAUCUACUGAAAAUAGAUAAUGAUAGUGCGAGUUGGGCAUCCGUGUAUUGUGUUUACAUUCUUGUUUGCACUUUACUCCUGAACGGUUUGAGCUAUAACCAACAAAAUAAAACCCAACCCUCCCUCCCUUGUGCAAAUAUUUGUAGUAUAAUUUUAUAGAUAUCAAUACACUUUUACACAAGUUAUUGUCCGGAAACCAGAAAAACGUUGUUUUGCUUAUUAUGGCCAGUUUUUGGUCCCUAAUUCUUUUAAACCAUGAUAUGGGACCAUAACAUUCAAAUUCUAAUUUAACGCUAUCAUUGAUUACUCAUCAUUUGCACAGGUCUGAUCUGCAUUUCUUUUGCGCUGAUUUUUUUUUAUUUCUUUUUUUGCCGAAUUUGUGUUUCAUUUGCG